CCUCAGCGUAGAAGGCCGCGCCGCGGCAUCGCGCGCUAUUUAUAGCGCGCGGGCAUCUCGCGAGAGCCGCGCUGGCCCCGCGCGCUGGAUGAGCAAUAACGGCGGGCUGGAAUGGACGGUUUGUUGUUAUUUAUACAGGGCGCGGGGCGGGCGCGGCGCCCGGGGUCUAGGGGCGCGCAGGGGCGGAGUGCGCAGAGCGCGCCGCGGCGGCCUGAGGUGAGGAGCUGUGGGUACAGGCGGGCGGACGGGAGGGCACUGCCGCAUCUCCCUCGUCCCCUGCGCCUUCAGCCUCUGUAGAACUCUGCUGGGAAAUGGGGGCCAAUCCCGGCCGCUGGGAGCGCGGCCCCGCCGUGGGCUGGGCUGACUCUUCACGGAGAUCCCGUCCUCAGAGGAGCUGUGAAGAGCACGGGGCUGCCGUGAUGGACGGCGACACGGGAGUCACAGCGGGGAACGAUUCUGUUUUGUAUUUUGAUGUGCAAUAAAAAAUGAAAUGAUUAAAAGA